rnacentral:tRNA from 1 species
CCGUCGGUAGCUUUAGUUGGCAGAGCGGUGGACUGUAGAUCCAUAGGUCGCUGGUUCGACUCAACUCGACAGA